rnacentral:rRNA from 1 species
GAUGAACGCUGGCGGCGUGCCUAAUACAUGCAAGUCGAACGAACAGACAAGGAACUUGCUUCUCAUCAAUUAUCGUCGCGCACGUGAGUGUAACGUGGAUAACCUCUCUCUUAGACUGGGGUACAUUAGGUGGAAACGACCUAAUAUACCACAAUCUAUUUAACCUCGUCAUUGAGUAGAGAUGAACGGUUGUGCUUACACUUAUGCAUUGAUUCACGGCGCGUUAUGUGUUUGAUUAGCUAGUUGGGUGGGUAACGGACCACCAAGGCAAGGAUUAGUAGCCGACCUGAGAGGGUGAACGGCCACAUUGGAACUGAGACACGGCCCAGACUCCUACGGGAGGCAGCAGUAGGGAAUCUUCCGCAAUGGGCGAAAGCCUGACGGAGCAACGCCGCGUGAGUGAUGAAGGUCUUCGGAUCGUAAAACUCUGUUAUUAGGGAAGAACAAAUGUGUAAGUAACUAUGCACGUCUUGACGGGACCUAAUAAGAAAGCCACGGCUAACUACGUG